UAACGGCGCUGGCAAUCGGACGCGUUUUGAAAACCAGCUCCCUCUCUCAUAUCUCAUUCUGGUUUUUUUUUGGGAAAGUAAAAAAAGGUGCGAAGAACCACAGCAACAAGCAACACAACAAAUACAAAAACAACGCCAGCUGCAAGAAUAAUAAUAGUAGAAAUUGCUGUCGAGCAGAAAACUGGAAAUCCAAAGGCAGCAGCAGGAAAUCAGUUUUGACCAUUCGCAGACUCGCCGCCGACCGACCAUGAUCUUGCGAACGCCACUCAUUGCCGGCCACCAGUUGCAGUUGCUGCUGCUCCUGCUGCCCACCGUUCUGCUCCUGCUGCUCCAACUGCUCCACUGCGAUGCCAAGACGGUUAAUCCCGGCGAUGGCAUGCAGAUGCAGCACCAUCAGAUGACCGCGGAACCGGGUCUGCCGGAGCCCAGGGCCUACAUGCCGGAUGCCCAGCACCUGGACUUUGUCUACCACGAUCACGAGGAGCUCACGAGGUUCCUCAGAGCGACCAGUGCGCGGUACCCGAAUCUCACUGCCUUGUACUCCAUUGGAAAGUCGAUCCAGGGACGUGAUCUCUGGGUGAUGGUGGUCAGCUCGUCGCCGUAUGAGCACAUGGUGGGCAAGCCGGAUGUGAAGUAUGUGGGCAAUAUCCAUGGCAAUGAGCCCGUCGGCCGGGAGAUGCUGCUCCAUCUCAUCCAGUACUUUGUGACCAGCUACAGUUCGGAUCAGUACGUCAAGUGGCUGCUGGACAACACACGGAUACACAUACUGCCCACCAUGAAUCCGGAUGGAUAUGCCGUUUCCAAAGAAGGCACAUGCGAUGGUGGCCAAGGAAGAUAUAAUGCUCGAGGAUUCGAUCUGAAUCGCAAUUUCCCCGACUAUUUCAAGCAGAACAACAAGCGGGGUCAGCCGGAAACGGAUUCUGUCAAGGAUUGGAUAUCCAAGAUCCAGUUCGUGCUCAGUGGCAGCCUGCAUGGUGGUGCCCUGGUGGCCAGCUAUCCGUACGACAAUACGCCAAACUCCAGGCUGCUCAAAGGGAUCUGCCGUUCGUCCGCCUUGUGCGCGAUGUUCCAGACCUACUCGGCGGCGCCAUCGCUGACGCCCGACGACGAUGUGUUCAAGCAUCUGUCCCUGGUCUAUGCCCGCAACCAUGCCAAGAUGUCCAGGGGCGUGGCCUGCAAGUCGGCGACGCCGGCCUUCGAGAAUGGCAUCACCAAUGGUGCCGCCUGGUAUCCACUGACUGGCGGCAUGCAGGACUACAACUACGUGUGGUACGGCUGCAUGGAGAUCACACUGGAGAUAUCCUGCUGCAAGUUUCCGCCAGCCUACGAGCUCAAGAAGUACUGGGAGGAUAAUCAACUGUCGCUGAUCAAGUUCCUGGCCGAGGCGCAUCGCGGUGUCCAGGGAUUCGUGUUCGAUCCGGCGGGCAUGCCCAUUGAGCGUGCCUCCAUCAAGAUCAAGGGUCGCGAUGUGGGCUUCCAGACCACCAAGUACGGCGAGUUCUGGCGCAUACUGCUGCCGGGCUACUACAAAGUGGAGGUCUUUGCCGAGGGCUUUGCGCCGCGCGAGGUGGAGUUCGUGAUCGUGGAGCAGCAUCCCACGCUGCUCAAUGUGACACUGCAGCCCUCGAAGUAUCUGGUGGCUACCGGCACAUCCACAUCCACCUCCACCAAAUCCUCCGCCGUGAAUGGAAAGCUGCAGCUGUCGCCGGAAUAAUGAAGAUCUGAGGAUCUUGGAGUCCAAUUCGCAGUCUUGUGAAGUGUGGCUGGCGUCGCUUGGAGGGCAUUGGGCCCAUGGGAGCCGGCGGCGGAGUGCCAGUGGGUAGCG
rnacentral:misc_RNA from 1 species